UGGAAGUAAAAGUCGUAACAAGGUUUCCGUAGGUGAACCUGCGGAAGGAUCAUUAAUAAAUGGCUCCUGAUUUGGAGCGCUUAAUAAUCCUACCCUUUGUGAAUUUGUUGUAUGAAAUAAUUUUUUUUAAAAUUAUUGAUUGUCUUUCCCUGUUGAAUUGGAGCGUUUUCGGACGCAAAAAUUCGCAGGGAUAGUCAGUAAUUUUUAAAAAGACCUUUUUUAAAAUUAAACUUUUUGUAUUCAUUUGUCUAAAAUUAUUUUUAUAAUAUAAAAACAACUUUGACAAUGGAUCUCUUGGUUCUCGCAACGAUGAAGAACGCAGCAAAAUGCGAUAAGUAGUGUGAAUUGCAGAAUACGUGAAUCAUCGAAUCUUCGAACGCAUAUUGCACUUUUUUAGUUUACUAAAAAAAGUAUGUCUGUUUGAGUAUCAGUAAAAUAUUCUCAUAAAAACCAUUGUUUUUAUGGUUAUGAGUGUUUUACAACGAUACAAGUUGUUUCACUUUAAAUUUUUUUAAAAUAGAUUUUUUCUAAUUUUAAAAUAAAAUUGGAUAAAAUUUUCCCGUAAAAAGGAAAUAACCUAAACAAUUUUAAUUUUUUAUUAGAAAAAUCAUUUAAAGGAAAAAUUUAACAAAAUAACUUGAUCUCAAAUCAGAUAAGAGUACCCGCUGAACUUAAGCAUAUCAAUAAGCGGAGGAAAAGAAACUAACAAGGAUUCCCUUAGUAACGGCGAGUGAAGCGGGAAGAGCUCAAAUUUGAAAUCUUCAAGGUUUUACCUUGACGAAUUGUAGUUUAAAGAAGUGUUUUCUGUUGAAGUUUUGGUAAAAGUUCUUUGGAAUAGGACAUCAUAGAGGGUGAGAAUCCCGUAUUUGACCAUUAUUUUCAGCUGUGUGAUACACUUUCAAAGAGUCGGAUUGUUUGGGAAUGCAGUCCAAAAUGGGUGGUAAAUUUCAUCUAAAGCUAAAUAUUGGCGAGAGACCGAUAGCGAACAAGUACCGUGAGGGAAAGAUGAAAAGAACUUUGAAAAGAGAGUUAAACAGUACGUGAAAUUGUCAAAAGGGAAGCGUUUGACACCAGUGUUGUUUUCUCGAAAAUCAAUUAAAAAUGGCUGGAUUUUGUGUUGUAUUGACCUUAACAGCUUUCUUCACUCUUUUCCUGUCUUUUUUAAUGCACUUUUCGUUUAACAAGUCAACAUCAGUUUCUUUUGUUGUAAAAGGGUCAUUGGAAGGUGGCUUUCUUUUCGGAGAAAGUGUUUAUAGCCUUUGAUCUCUGCAAUCGGAGAGACUGAGGUCUGCAGCGUAGACUCUUCGGGGUUAGAUACAUUUUGUGCUAAGUUAUAGCUUUUUAUAGACGACUUGUUGACUAUAUUUAGUCUUGUAGCUUACUCGCUUAUGCUAUUUUACCUA
rnacentral:misc_RNA from 1 species